rnacentral:rRNA from 1 species
CGUAAAAUUCGUUUGGAGGUGUGCCUUGAGGCGUGGCUUCCGGAGCUAACGCGUUAAAUCGACCGCCUGGGGAGUACGGCCGCAAGGUUAAAACUCAAAUGAAUUGACGGGGGCCCGCACAAGCGGUGGAGCAUGUGGUUUAAUUCGAUGCAACGCGAAGAACCUUACCUGGUCUUGACAUCCACAGAAACUUUCCAGAGAUGGAUUGGUGCCUUCGGGAACUGUGAGACAGGUGCUGCAUGGCUGUCGUCAGCUCGUGUCGUGAGAUGUUGGGUUAAGUA